rnacentral:rRNA from 1 species
GAUGAACGCUGGCGGCGUGCCUAAUACAUGCAAGUCGAGCGAACGGACGAGAAGCUUGCUUUUCUGAUGUUAGCGGCGGACGGGUGAGUAACACGUGGAUAACCUACCUAUAAGACUGGGAUAACUUCGGGAAACCGGAGCUAAUACCGGAUAAUAUUUUGAACCGCAUGGUUCAAAAGUGAAAGACGGUUUUGCUGUCACUUAUAGAUGGAUCCGCGCUGCAUUAGCUAGUUGGUAAGGUAACGGCUUACCAAGGCAACGAUGCGUAGCCGACCUGAGAGGGUGAUCGGCCACACUGGAACUGAGACACGGUCCAGACUCCUACGGGAGGCAGCAGUAGGGAAUCUUCCGCAAUGGGCGAAAGCCUGACGGAGCAACGCCGCGUGAGUGAUGAAGGUCUUCGGAUCGUAAAACUCUGUUAUUAGGGAAGAACAUAUGUGUAAGUAACUAUGCACAUCUUGACGGUACCUAAUCAGAAAGCCACGGCUAACUACGUG